CUGACCUUGUGACCCACCCGCCUCGGCCUCCCAAAGUGCUGGGAUUACAGGUGUGAGCCACCGCGCCCACCUAUUUUUUAUUUUUUGAGACGGAGUCUCACUCUGUCACCCAGGCUGGAGUGCAGUGGCACGAUACCGGCUUACUGCAACCUCCGUCUCCUGGGUUCAAGCGAUUCUCCUGCCUCAGCCUCCUGACUAGCUGGGAUUACAGUAGAGACGGGGUUUCACCAUUUUGGCCAGGCUGGUCUUGAACUUCUCACCUUGUGAUCCACCCGCCUCAGCCUCCCAAAGUGCUGGGAUUACAGGCGUGAGCCACCGCGCCUGGUGAGCCCUCUUAUUUUUAUAACAUGCUUCCUAUGUGUUGAUUUUGUUUUCCCUAUUAGGGUAAAUUUUUGAAGGCAGGAGGCAUCUCUUAUAUCCUGUAGUGAUGAGCAUAAUACGAGUUGUUCAAUAAAUACACAUUUGGCAAAGAUGAGAGAGGUGGAGAGAGAAAGAGGUUCCUCUGCUGAAGAAGUGUGAUUACUUUUGGGUUUUGUCUACCUCAUGUGGUACCCAUUUCUAGCAGGGAAUUUCUUCCACUUGCAGACCAAGUGUGUUGGGGACUUGAGAUGCGUACAUGAGUGUGAUGUUUCCUGCUGAAAGCACAGGUGAGACGUGGUCUUGUAACACAGUGGUUAAGAAUGUGACUUUGGAGCCAGCCUGCUAGGGGCUGAAUUCUGACUCAGCCAUUUACUAACUGUGUGACCUUAGGGAGGAGGACCUGGUUGAUAGAAGAAUUUAUCUCGUAGUCUUAACAUCCACUGUAAUUCCAAACUUUGAGGACGAUAGAGAUCAGUGGGCUUUGACUGCCCAGCAUGCAGUCUCCAUUCUUAGGUGGGUUCCCAAGCCUGUAAAAUGUAAGCCUUAUGCUGCUGAGGGCCAUCUUGCCACCCUGAGGGAAACGCUGCCUGAGAAUGAAACAAGCAUAAGUAAAAGCUGAGCUGUGAGAUGGAGCAAGAUGAAGGCCACAUGACAUCUUUGGAGCACCUGGAUCUAACUGUGCCUUAAGCUAGUCUAACCCUGAACAUUUCAUCAUUUCAUUGACAUGAGCCCAGGUUUUCUUUUUUUUUGGAUGGAGUCUUGCUCUGUCGCCCAGGCUGGAGUGCAGUAGCUCAAUCUCGGCUCACUGCAAGCUCCACCUCCCGGGUUCACGCCAUUCUCCUGCCUUAGCCUCCCAAGUAGCUGGGACAACAGGCGCCCACCACCACUCCCAGCUAAUUUUUUGUAUUUUUAGUAGAGACGGGGUUUUACCAUGUUAGCCGGGAUGGUCUUGAUCUCCUGACCUCAUGAUCCGCCCGCCUCGGCCUCCCAAAGUGCUGGGAUUACAGGUGUGAGCCACUGCACCCAGCCCUCAGGUUUUCCCUUUUUUUACCCCUCCUUUUGAAAAUUUGAUGUGGAAUUUUGCCACCUGCAGCCAGAAGAGUUUUAACUAAUCAGUGCCAUAAAUUUUAUAUAGUUCUCCUUGCAAAAUGUGGAUCAGCCUUUCUCAGCAAAUCCUUUGUCAUAAAGUGCUGAAUUGUAAGUUUGUCAUGAGAAUCACAUGAGAUCAUGCAUGUGAAGAACCUGGCAUUAUCCUCCUCAUAGAAAAAAACCAGUAAAUAUUAACUACAGGAAGCAAGGAAGGAGUGGGGUGAGGGGAAGAAGAAGGGGUACUGAUUUAAAAGAACCCUGGAGUCCUAAGGAUAAUCUAGGAACCCUCAGACCCAAUCCGAUACCCCUAUUCUAAAUGCUCCUAGUGCCCUGUACCUUCCCCUCAUAAGCCUUCAUUAUCAUUGUAAUGAUAUGUUUAUGUAAUAUUUUGAUUAAUGUCUCUCCUUCACUGACCUAGCAGUUCUAGCAGGGCAGUGAUUUUGCUGUGUUGCAUCCCCAGCACCUAGUCUGGUAUGUGGCAUUCAGCAUAUGUUUAUUGAAUGAAUGGCCAUGUGGUUAUUCAGAUCCUCCUUGAUUAUUGGGGUUAGGAUUGUGGCAGAAGUGGCAAAAUCAGGGAGAGUAGUCCCUGUCCCCUCUGUAUCUUAUACACUGCCCACACUCCCAACACACAUACACAUACAGAGAAUUUUGUCUCAAUUAGAUAAUUAACUUCUGCUUGGUUGUAAACCAAACCACUGGUUCUUAAACUUUCAUUGGAUCAUUUUAUUGAAGAAUUAAAUAGUGUGGUUCUGGCCUAAUGUCUGGAAAGCCUUGCAGAGGAGUGGAUUAGGUCUUUGUGAUAAACAGGCAGCCUUCCCUGCUCCUGUGUCUUUAUAAAAUCUAUUUAACUGGAGUAGUCCACCCUCCCUCAGGCUCUUACAGGAAUAUGUUGGAGGCUGUAGGAAGGUGGGAAACCGAGAGGGAAAGGACUGGGCCGCUGGAGACUUCACUCAUUCCCUAGCAAGAAACAAAAGCAGUAAAAGGUGGCCCGAGGACAACCUGAAGCUCACUCCUUCAGCACUUUUGGCUGGAGGUCACUUGUUGGAGCCCCACUCAGAGCUCAGCACACCACCCCACCAGCAGCCUCCUCCUCCCAGCUGAGGCUGCAUUUCAUCCCUUCCCCCAGCCUGCUUUCCCUGAGAUAGGGGAGUGUUUCCCAGGGCCCAUGUGACUUCCACUGGCAAGUGACGAUUACCAAUGGUUUACUAGUCAGUGAAACUACCAAAGGCUUUUGUGCUGUAGUAAUCCUUUUCCUGUUUAAAACUCUGGGGAUUUUCUAAUGUUGCCAAUAGUUUUUCAAGUCAGCAAUUACUGUGUGGAUUAUGUAAUGGCUCGGUAUUAAAAAUAGAAAAGACUGGAGUUUGCAUCUAUUUUAACCAAAUCUUGAAAACAGAGCAAAGGGAGGGGAAGGGUGGAGAGGGAGAGACCAGAGGAGGAGGGAGAAAAAGAGAUCAUGUGACUGGAUAAGACAGCUCACAAUUCACUGUGCCUUUCUCCCACCAUUUGUGGCCCAAGGACCUGUACUCCCUCCUCAGCCUCCUCUAGGGAGGGGUCCUUGAUGAGAAUUCUGAGGACACAAGACCCCUUGUGGAUAUUUCUUAGCUCAGCCUUGGUGUGCUUACCUGCUUCUGACAAGCAAAGUGGCCAAGUAGGGGAGGGAGUUGAAUCUGAUGUCCUCCACUAAGUCCAGGACUCCUAUUUUGUUUUGUUUUGUUUUUGAGACGGAGUCUUGCUCUGUCACCAGGGUGGAGUGCAGUGGCACAAUCUCGGCUCACUGCAACUUCUGCUGCCUGGGUUCAAGUGAUUCCCCUGCCUUAGCCUCCUGAGUAGCUGGGACUGCAGGUGCGCACCACCACGCCUGGCUCAUUUUUUGUAUUUUAGCAGAGAUGGGGUUUCACCAUGUUGGCCAGAAUGGUCUCAAUCUCCUGAGCUUGUGAUCCACCCACCUCAGCCUCCCCAAGUGCUAGGAUUACAGGUGUGAGCUAC
rnacentral:lncRNA from 1 species